rnacentral:ncRNA from 21 species
GGGUGUUAGCUGCAUUCCGCAGCGAAACAGGUUCAUGCGUCGGUCGGGCCGCCACG